rnacentral:rRNA from 1 species
UACGUAGGGUGCGAGCGUUAAUCGGAAUUACUGGGCGUAAAGCGUGCGCAGGCGGUUUGCUAAGACAGUUGUGAAAUCCCCGGGCUCAACCUGGGAACUGCAAUUGUGACUGGUAGACUAGAGUUUGGCAGAGGGGGGUGGAAUUCCUGGUGUAGCAGUGAAAUGCGUAGAUAUCAGGAGGAACACCGAUGGCGAAGGCAGCCCCCUGGGCCAUGACUGACGCUCAUGUACGAAAGCGUGGGGAGCAAACAGG